GACGAACGCUGGCGGCGCGCCUAACACAUGCAAGUCGAACGAGCGAGCGAGAGCUUGCUUUCUCAAGCGAGUGGCGAACGGGUGAGUAACGCGUGAGGAACCUGCCUCAAAGAGGGGGACAACAGUUGGAAACGACUGCUAAUACCGCAUAAGCCCACGACCCGGCAUCGGGUGGAGGGAAAAGGAGCAAUCCGCUUUGAGAUGGCCUCGCGUCCGAUUAGCUAGUUGGUGAGGUAACGGCCCACCAAGGCGACGAUCGGUAGCCGGACUGGGAGGUUGAACGGACACAUUGGGACUGAGACACGGCCCAGACUCCUACGGGAGGCAGCAGUGGGGAAUAUUGCACAAUGGGGGAAACCCUGAUGCAGCGCCGCCGCGUGGAGGAAGAAGGUCUUCGGAUUGUAAACUCCUGUUGUUGAGGAAGAUAAUGACGGUACUCAACAAGGAAGUGACGGCUAACUACGUG
rnacentral:rRNA from 1 species